rnacentral:misc_RNA from 1 species
AAGUCGUAACAAGGUUUCCGUAGGUGAACCUGCGGAAGGAUCAUCAACAAAUCUAUAUGUUGGGUGUAAAAACCUAACAAAUACCAAUGUGAAUUGGGAGGGCAACCUCUCUAGGCCAAUUUUUGGCCAAGUAUACUAAACCAGAGUCGGAUAAGUAAAAAUAAUAUAAACAACUUUUAACAAUGGAUCUCUUGGCUCUU